CUCGCUGUUCCUUUUUCCUAUGCAUAUACCUCUUUGAAAAAUAAAUGUAAAGGGGCAUAGGGCAUGGGAAAAUGGCGCAGCUGAGCC
rnacentral:pre_miRNA from 1 species